rnacentral:rRNA from 1 species
GAUGAACGCUGGCGGCGUGCCUAACACAUGCAAGUCGAGCGAACGGACGCGAAGUUUGCUUCUUUGAUGUUAGCGGCGCACGGGAGAGUAACACGUGGAUACCCUACCUAUAUGACAGGGAUAACUUCGAGAAACCGGAGCUUAUACCGGAUAAUAUUCUGAACCGCAUGGUUCAAAAGUGAAAGACGGUCGUGCUGUCUGUAAUAGAUGGAUCCGCGCUGCAGUAGCUAGUUGGUAAGGUAACGGCUUAUCAAGGCAACGAUGCAUAGCCGACCUGCGAGAGUGAUAGGCCACACGGGAACUGAGACACGGUCCAUACUCCUGCGAGAGGCAGCAGUAGGGAAUCUGCCGCAAUGGUCGAAAGCCUUACGGAGCAACCCCGCGUGAGUGAUGGAGGUCUUCGGAUCGUAAAGAUCGGUUAUUAGGGGUGAACAUAUGUGUAAGUAACUGUGCACAUCGUGACGGUACCUAAUCAGAAAGCCACGGCUAACUACGUG